AGAGCGAACGCUGGCGGCAGGCCUAAUACAUGCAAGUCGAACGGCUCUUCGGAGCAGUGGCGGACGGGUGAGUAACGCGUGGGAAUGUGCCCUUUGGUACGGAACAACUGAGGGAAACUUCAGCUAAUACCGUAUGUGCCCUUCGGGGGAAAGAUUUAUUGCCAUUGGAGCAGCCCGCGUUGGAUUAGCUAGUUGGUGGGGUAAAGCCCACAAGGCGACGAUCCAUAGCUGGUCUGAGAGGAUGAUCAGCCACACUGGGACUGAGACACGGCCCAGACUCCUACGGGAGGCAGCAGUAGGGAAUCUUGCGCAAUGGGCGAAAGCCUGACGCAGCCAUGACCGCGUGAAUGAUGAAGGUCUUAGGAUUAGUUAAAAUUCUUUACGACCGGGGUAAGAUAAGUGAACGGUACCCGGAAGAAGAACGACCCCGGACUAACUUCGUGCCGAGCCAGCCGAC
rnacentral:rRNA from 1 species